rnacentral:rRNA from 1 species
GAUGAACGCUGGCGGCGUGCCUAAUACAUGCAAGUCGAGCGAACAGACGAGGAGCUUGCUCCUCUGACGUUAGCGGCGGACGGGUGAGUAACACGUGGAUAACCUACCUAUAAGACUGGGAUAACUUCGGGAAACCGGAGCUAAUACCGGAUAAUAUAUUGAACCUCAUGGUUCAAUAGUGAAAGACGGUUUUGCUGUCACUUAUAGAUGGAUCCGCGCCGCAUUAGCUAGUUGGUAAGGUAACGGCUUACCAAGGCAACGAUGCGUAGCCGACCUGAGAGGGUGAUCGGCCACACCGGAACUGAGACACGGUCCAGACUCCUACGGGAGGCAGCAGUAGGGAAUCUUCCGCAAUGGGCGAAAGCUUGACGGAGCAACGCCGCGUGAGUGAUGAAGGUCUUCGGAUCGUAAAACUCUGUUAUUAGGGAAGAACAAAUGUGUAAGUAACUAUGCACGUCUUGACGGUACCUAAUCAGAAAGCCACGGCUAACUACGUG